GGCCCCGUAGUUCAAUGGAUAGAAUAGAAGUUUUCUGAACUUUAAAUCGAAGUUCGAUUCUUGGUGGGGUCA
rnacentral:tRNA from 1 species